rnacentral:rRNA from 1 species
UACGGAGGGUGCGAGCGUUGUCCGGAUUUAUUGGGUUUAAAGGGUGCGUAGGUGGCUUUUUAAGUCAGUGGUGAAAUACGGUUGCUCAACAAUCGAGGUGCCAUUGAUACUGAAGAGCUUGAAAUAAUUGGAGGCUGCCGGAAUGGAUGGUGUAGCGGUGAAAUGCAUAGAUAUCAUCCAGAACACCGAUUGCGAAGGCAGGUGGCUACGAUUUGUUUGACACUGAGGCACGAAAGCAUGGGGAGCAAAC